rnacentral:misc_RNA from 1 species
GAUGAAGAACGCAGCGAAAUGCGAUAAGUAAUGUGAAUUGCAGAAUUCAGUGAAUCAUCGAAUCUUUGAACGCACAUUGCGCCCGCCAGUAUUCUGGCGGGCAUGCCUGUUCGAGCGUCAUUUCAACCAUCAAGCCCCAGGCUUGUGUUGGGGACCUGCGGCUGCCGCAGGCCCUGAAAACCAGUGGCGGGCUCGCUGUCACACCGGGCGUAGUAGAUUUUAUCUCGCUCAGGGCGUGCUGCGGGUUCCGGCCGUUAAAAAGCCUUUUUUACCCAAGGUUGACCUCGGAUCAGGUAGGAAGAACCGCUGAACUUAAGCAUAUCAAUAAGCGGAGGA